UGUGUUUGGUUGGAAUCAAGUGGGCAAAAAACUGAAAAAUUGGAAAUAUUUGGAAAAAAUUUCUACUAUUCUUUGUAGAAAUGAGUAUGGGUUUUGUGGGGAGAAGGGAGACACAUCUUCCUCUUUCUCUAUAAAGAAAAUAGGGUUUUGAAAGAUACAUUUUAAUGGACAUCGAUGUCACCGGUGAGUACAUCUGGAUCCAGCACCGGGUCUGAGAUCAUCAGAAAAGGUAAGUUAAUUUUUCCAUUGUUGGAAUUGUUUUAACUCCUUCCCCCUUAUAUUUUCCCUUUCAUUUGUUAUCUCCUUCAGAACUGAAAAUGGGCCAUUCAUUGUUGCAAGGGGAUUGGUCUCCCUCCCUACCACCCUCCUCCAUCCCCACCGGGUCCCUCUCUGCUGGGGCACAGUUGGAGUUCAGGGUGUGCUGCCAUUCCCUCCAGCCCCAUAGACACACAUGCUCAGGGCGCAUCCCACAUUUCCAGCAAGGCUCAGGCUGUCCAAGCGAGUUGCAUAUCAGAAAUGACUUUUACUUAACCUAGGAGGCCCCCACAUCCCCUUUAAGUUGUUUUUUACUGUGUCUUUGAGUGUGUAAUGUGCUCCAUAAACAAAUAACCUGUGUUUUUUUAACUGGGUCAUUAUGAGUUGAGUUGUACUUCAAGCACAGGACGCGGGGAGGAAGUGGUGAGAGCAGGAGCAGAAGGGGAGACAGCGGCAGCCUCAGACCCAGAGGACUGCGAGGAAGCAAAUUAUGGAUGGCUGCCAGAACAAAUGAAGAGCCUUUGGGGAAACCGUUUUGAGGUCUCAUGGAAAAGUCAGAGAACGGAGGUUAAGGCAGGCACAAAUAAUGUCAGACCUCCAGGAGAGCCGUUUGCCAUAGGCAGGAGGAUAUAUGUUUCUGCAAAACCUUCUUCAUGUGACUGGUCAGAAAUGACUCAAGCAACACCGAGAAGCAUUGGCUGAACCUUAAGGAACCUCACACUGGUGGAUGCUGCUGAAUUGAGAGGUCAAUGGACACACACAGAAGAUUAAGACCUAGAAUCAUGCCUAUGGUGGGAAAAGCUGCAGCAGUGGCUGACUGGAAGGGCUGAUCCAUCACACACCAAAUACCACUUUCUUCCAACCAGGUGACUACAUAAUGCUGCCAGCAUGUAUAUAUUAUCCGUGUCUCCCCACCCUGGCCUAACCCAAAUGCUGCAUGACUGAUUGUACCCUAGAGAAGCUCCAGCCUCUUCAGGGGUGCUGGAGGUGUUGGAGCAGGGCCUUGAACCUAAGAACCACCAUCCAACUUCAGCUCUGAAAACAAAGUGUCUCCGUUAUCUUAUCUUGAGUUCACCAAACUCACAGUGACUUAUCCUCGUCUUUGUGCCUCAGGAUCUCAUCUUUUCCCAUCCUUACCAGACUGCUCUGAAGAAACAUCCAUGGGUAUUUGAGAAGCAUUUGGAUGCUGUCAUGAUCAGCCUAUUGAAAAACCCAUGAAGAAAUUAAUAACUCUGUACUUGAUGAAGGGUUUGAAGGAUGUGUCAUGUAUAGUGCAGGGGGAACUUGUUUAGGCACAGGAUUAUGUACUUCAUAGAUUAUGGAGUAGGUGCUCCUUCAGAGAGCAGCAUCUGACCUAUAUUCUGGAAAAGUUGUGAGGGCUUUGGAGAAAACCUGCAACACCAGGGAUUUAGAGACAGUAGCAGCUUGUGUCUAGUCAAAGGGAUUACCAGCAGAGCAAAAGCUGAGGCAAUCUUGCCUUAAUCUGGAAAAAAGAA